ensembl:snoRNA Gm23278 small nucleolar RNA SNORA48
ACUCCCUGGCAAUGGGCAAAGGGACACCUUGUUGGUGGAGGUGUUCUUAUAUCAGUCAGGGGCAGAGCAGAUGACAGUCCUUUUUCAUCUUAUCUUGAUUUUUGGCUUGGCGGCCAAAGCUGUUUAAUGCCUAGGACCCAUAA